rnacentral:rRNA from 1 species
CAGUAGCCGCGGGAAUACAGAGGGUGCAAGCGUUAAUCGGAAUUACUGGGCGUAAAGCGCGCGUAGGUGGUUCGCCAAGUUGGAUGUGAAAUCCCCAAGCUCAACCUGGGAACUGCAUCCAAAACUGGCGAGCUAGAGUAUGGUAGAGGGUGGUGGAAUUUCCUGUGUAGCGGUGAAAUGCGUAGAUAUAGGAAGGAACAUCAGUGGCGAAGGCGACCACCUGGACUGAUACUGACACUGAGGUGCGAAAGCGUGGGGAGCAAACAGGAUUAGAUACCCCUGUAGUCCCUGUCUCUUAUAC